UACGUAGGGGGCUAGCGUUGUCCGGAAUCAUUGGGCGUAAAGAGCGUGUAGGCGGCCAGAUAAGUCCGCUGUGAAAGUCCAGGGCUCAACCCUGGGAUGCCGGUGGAUACUGUCGGGCUCGAGUCCGGAAGAGGCGAGUGGAAUUCCUGGUGUAGCGGUGAAAUGCGCAGAUAUCAGGAAGAACACCCGUGGCGAAGGCGGUUCUCUGGGACGGUACUGACGCUGAGACGCGAAAGCGUGGGGAGCGAACAGG
rnacentral:rRNA from 1 species